rnacentral:snRNA from 1 species
AUACUUACCUGGACGGGGUCAAUGGGCGAUCAACAAGGCCCAUGGCCUAGGUUGAUGACUUCCAUUGCACUUUGGAAGGGUGUUAACCUAAGGUCUACCUUAUAGGUGGAGCCUACGUCAUAAUUUGUGGUAGAGGGGGCCUGCGUUCGCGCGGCCCCUG